rnacentral:rRNA from 1 species
CCUACGGGUGGCAGCAGUGAGGAAUAUUGGUCAAUGGACGAGAGUCUGAACCAGCCCAGUAGCGUGAAGGAUGACUGCCCUAUGGGUUGUAAACUUCUUUUAUAUGGGAAUAAAAUGUUCCACGUGUGGGAUUUUGUAUGUACCAUAUGAAUAAGGAUCGGCUAACUCCGUGCCAGCAGCCGCGGUAAUACGGAGGAUCCGAGCGUUAUCCGGAUUUAUUGGGUUUAAAGGGAGCGUAGGUGGAUUGUUAAGUCAGUUGUGAAAGUUUGCGGCUCAACCGUAAAAUUGCAGUUGAAACUGGCAGUCUUGAGUACAGUAGAGGUGGGCGGAAUUCGUGGUGUAGCGGUGAAAUGCUUAGAUAUCACGAAGAACUCCGAUUGCGAAGGCAGUUCACUGGACUGCAACUGACACUGAGGCUCGAAAGUGUGGGUAUCAAACAGGAUUAGAUACCCGUGUAGUC